AAUGCUAUGGGUGUAGCAUCUAUAAUAAGGAAUAAAGGAGUGGAGAUCAAACCUCGGGGAAUGUUAUGGGGUGUGGGUACAGGUUAUACCCACUGAUAUGUUUCUUUAAUCUUUUUUAUGGCUCAGGAAUGAAGGAUAACUUGGUACCUGAGCUCAGCGGGAAAUAUAUAAGUGAAUGCCAGGGAUUUGGCCGCUGAAUCUUUUUGUUUUAUUUGGAAUGUGUUAUACUGAAAGGUAUAAAUGUAUAGAUAUGACAAGGGAAAUAUAGAUAUUAUAUUAAUGGAUGGGUUUUAUAUGAUGGGUUAAGGUAUGUCUGAGGACAGGACUGAAGCUAAGAGAUGGUAAGUGUCAUGAGCUGUGGGGGAGAUAAUGUAGCUGAAUGGAUGGUAGUUUAUUUAAGGAGCUAAAGUUAGGGGAAUUAGAGAAUCUUAAUGGGGAAAUGAAAAUGGUCUAUAAUUAUAUGUAAGGUAACUAGGUAAACUACUGAAUCUUUAAGUCUACAUGAGGCAGGAGCGCUGCACGGAGCAGUCAUGCGCUGGGACACAGGAGUGAACUGGAGGAGUGUGAGAGAAUGGAUGAACCGAAGGUGGGUUAGCUGCAGACGAUCAUGGGUGUGAUUGGAGACGAAAUGCAGCUGGAAGUGUGAAUGUCAUGGAAGGAACGGGUGUGUGAGUGUGCCGAAGGGGAGCUGCUGAAGCACACUUCAGCACAAACUUAAAGGACCACUAGGCGGUGGGACUACCACAAUUCGAGGGAGCUGAGUUGGAGUGGGGACCAUUCAGAUGUAGCAGCUCGACCUGGGUGAAGGGCUGCCAAGGUCAUGGACAUGCUGCAGUGGAUGGAUGUGUCUACCCUUGGGGGAAGGAAACUGAUGGAGCUCAACAUGGUCAGAGGAGGCUUUCCGGCGGAUUCAGAUGGAAGACCUCAUCAGUGGAACUUAUAAGAAGAUGUUUGUUGUGGGACAUCCAUAACAAUUCUACAACAGCACGCAGAACAUCCAUACAUAUUAAGACUGUACC
ensembl:lncRNA